GAAGCUGGCCAGGCAGCCGCUGUGCGCGGAACAAACCGGACAAGGCAACUUGUCCGUGCCGCGCAUAGAGGAAAGUCCGGGCUCCACAGGGUAGGGUGACGGGUAACGCCCGUCCGCCGUGAGGCGAGGAACAGGGCCACAGAGAACGAACCGCCGAUGGCCGUCCGACUUGCGGCGCGCAAGCGCCGCAAAGUCUCCCUUAAAUGGGGUGGGGGGUGUGUGAGCAUUCCCGAAAGGGGGUGCGCAAGCGCUCCCGCAAUUCUCGCAAGUGAAUUGCGGCGGAUCAGGUAAGGGUGAAAAGGUGCGGUAAGAGCGCACCGCGUUCGCGGUAACGCGAACGGCGCGGUAACCUCCACCCGGAGCAACACCGAAUAGGCAAGCGUUGACGCGUCCCGCCGAGCUUGCGGGUAGGUGGCUUGAGCCGCGCAGUAAUGCGCGGCCCAGAGGAAUGGCUGUCCACGACAGAACCCGGCUUAACGGCCAGCUUCACUU
rnacentral:RNase_P_RNA from 1 species